CUUGUCUCAAAGAUUAAGCCAUGCAUGUCUAAGUAUAAGCAAUUAUACAGCGAAACUGCGAAUGGCUCAUUAAAUCAGUUAUCGUUUAUUUGAUAGUACCUUACUACAUGGAUAACCGUGGUAAUUCUAGAGCUAAUACAUGCUAAAAAUCCCGACUUCGGAAGGGAUGUAUUUAUUAGAUUAAAAACCAAUGCCCUUCGGGGCUCUCUGGUGAUUCAUGAUAACUUCUCGAAUCGCACGGCCUUGCGCCGGCGAUGGUUCAUUCAAAUUUCUGCCCUAUCAACUUUCGACGGCUGGGUCUUGGCCAGCCGUGGUGACAACGGGUAACGGAGGGUUAGGGCUCGACCCCGGAGAAGGAGCCUGAGAAACGGCUACUACAUCCAAGGAAGGCAGCAGGCGCGCAAAUUACCCAAUCCCGACACGGGGAGGUAGUGACAAUAAAUACUGAUACAGGGCUCUUUCGGGUCUUGUAAUUGGAAUGAGUACAAUUUAAAUCCCUUAACGAGGAACAAUUGGAGGGCAAGUCUGGUGCCAGCAGCCGCGGUAAUUCCAGCUCCAAUAGCGUAUAUUAAAGUUGUUGAGGUUAAAAAGCUCGUAGUUGAACCUUGGGCCUAGCCGGCCGGUCCGCCUCACCGCGUGCACUGGCUCGGUUGGGUCUUUCCUUCUGGAGAACCGCAUGCCCUUCACUGGGUGUGUUGGGGAACCAGGACUUUUACUCUGAACAAAUUAGAUCGCUUAAAGAAGGCC
rnacentral:rRNA from 1 species